CUAUGAUGAUACCUGAAGGCUUGUUUCUCAAAACAUCGCAGUGGCCGCCCAAGACCUUUCACCAUCGUCGGGCUUGAGAGUUUAUGCUGUUUUUAUCGUUCAUUGGAUGUCUGAAUAA
rnacentral:snoRNA from 1 species